GUCAAACUGGGUUGAUUUUCAGCAGAUCACACAGGAAUAAGAAACAAACAAUCAAACAGUUACAGAGCCAAAAAUAACCAUGAUCGUGGUGGGCAUGCACCGUCAUAAAAGCACCACUGAAACGGCCCAUUAUCAGGAAGAGGACGGCGACUGGAGAAAGAGGAACUGCAAGACUGCCGGCGUUUGGAACGAAGCAGGAGUCUCUAAUUGCCGCGGCAAGUGGUUGUCGGUAUCGCGCGUAGCUGAGCGGCGGCGGCGGCGGCGGCGACGACGGCGGCGGCGGCGACAACAACAACGACGACGGCGGUGGCGACGGCUUGUUAAGGAUCUCCGGCGGUAAUACACAGGAGCUGUGAGCGCACCAUUUCCGCACCCAGCGUCCGUUGGCAUCGAGCUACAGAGCUGCGCGAAGCGUUCGUUCGUCACGAGCAUUUAACUGAUUUCAGUUAAAUACAAAGCUCUUGUGUGAGCGGCUUUAGACCGACCCGAGCAGCUGAUCGCACCGGGCGUCACAUCAUAACGUGCUACGAAACUCAUCGUCAGUGUGAGCGCGCGGCUCUGACCACAGCUGGGUUGCUGUAAGGCCAUCGCUCCGGGAAGCACCAGCGGAGACCUGCGUACCGCGACCAAUAACCAAAUACCUGAUAUCAUCAUCACUUGGCUCGGUGCUCUGAGAGAAACAUGCCAAACUCAACUUUACAGCUGCGUCGAUUCGGUGAAAGCAGUAGCCGUGCGCUCUUUCCACUUUCACGGGUUUUCACCUCAUUCUUCGGCCUGAGCCGCAGAGUUGUCUUUACCUGUGGACACAUUCUCGGCUCGGUAAUGCGCGGUAUUACGCUCCAUUCUCUCACUCUGACCAUUCAGCACGGUAAUCAUGUGAUAACCGUCGACAUCCAAAGAGACGCAAACACGGGAAAUCACACCUUUGCUCUCAGGGCCUGACAGGUGAACGCAAAUGACCCAAAUAUGCUUCAGCGGGAAAUCUGCAUCGUAACCAAACGCUGUAUAACCGGACGUGCACCUCGCCAGCAAUCAAACUUGUAG
ensembl:lncRNA